rnacentral:rRNA from 1 species
AGUGAACGCUGGCGGUAGGCCUAACACAUGCAAGUCGAACGGCAGCACAGUAAGAGCUUGCUCUUACGGGUGGCGAGUGGCGGACGGGUGAGGAAUACAUCGGAAUCUACUUUUUCGUGGGGGAUAACGUAGGGAAACUUACGCUAAUACCGCAUACGACCUACGGGUGAAAGCAGGGGAUCUUCGGACCUUGCGCGAUUGAAUGAGCCGAUGUCGGAUUAGCUAGUUGGCGGGGUAAAGGCCCACCAAGGCGACGAUCCGUAGCUGGUCUGAGAGGAUGAUCAGCCACACUGGAACUGAGACACGGUCCAGACUCCUACGGGAGGCAGCAGUGGGGAAUAUUGGACAAUGGGCGCAAGCCUGAUCCAGCUAUACCGCCUGGGUGAAGAAGGCCUUCGGGUUGUAAAGCCCUUUUGUUGGGAAAGAAAAGCAGCAGGUUAAUACCCCGCUGUUCUGACGGUACCCAAAGAAUAAGCACCGGCUAACUUCGUG